GGGGUAGGCUCUUUAUUAGACGGUUAUUGCUGUACUACAGGGUCAGAGUGCAGUGUAAGCAGUGUCAGAGGCCCGCGUUCAGCCCAAGAAUGUGGAUUUUCUCUCCCUAUUGAUCACAGUGGGUGGGUUUCUUCAGAAAAGCCCCAGAGGCAGGGACCAGUGAGCUCCAAGGUUAGAAGUGGAACUGGAAGGCUUCAGUCACAUGCUGCUUCCACGCUUCCAGGCUGGGCAGCAAGGAGGAGAUGCCCAUGACGUGCCAGGUCUCCCCAUCUGACACCAGUGAAGUCUGGUAGGACAGCAGCCGCACGCCUGCCUCUGCCAGGAGGCCUG
rnacentral:lncRNA from 1 species